AUGGAUAUAGCUCAGUUGGUAGAGUGCUUGCCUUGCAUGAAAGAAGACCGGGGUUCAAUCCCCUGCACCACA
rnacentral:tRNA from 1 species